CGUGUGAUUGCUCGUUUCCAGAUUCGAGUCUGGAUGCAUACAAACUCGCAAAGCAAACAAGUGUAGCUGAUGUUGUUCUAUGGUGUGAAGUUCAGCUAACCAAAGCUGCAAUUGGGAUUUGCUUCCCUGAUUUAAAUAUAGGCAAUGCUUCAACUAUUCAAUAUGUUUACCUUAAUGGUCAAAAAUCUUACCGUGUGAAUGGAGUCACUACUCAGGGCUGGUUCACCAUUGAUUUCUCCUUGAGAGAUGUCCAGAAUGUUUCUUUGAUUUGAGGAAUAUUCUCGCAACAGAUAGAUUCGAUGGAAAUGGAUAUACGAUUCUCACGAUUCAAAAUGUAACCGAGCAAAUUAAGCCACAAGGAGGUUUUUGGUUGCAUGUUCAGCACAAUGCAUUCUAUGAGCAACACAAUUUAAGCAUGAGCAGUUUUCUAGUAUCAUUUUCAAGAACUGUUUCCAUUGACUUCAUCUCUUCUCCUGAAGUGAAUUUCUUUAAGAAAAUUACUGGCCAUUUCAAGUGGAAUGGACCGAGUUUUGUGUUACAGUUUCUUGGGAAAGAAGAUUUCGAGCCGACAAUAAACUGAACCUACGGUUC